rnacentral:tRNA from 1 species
GCGCUCGUAGCUCAGUUGGAUAGAGCGGUGGUUUCCGGUACCACGUCUGCCGCGGGUUCGAAUCCUGCCGAGCGCG